GCCUAAAGAAGCACUGCUCAUCAUCAUGGUGACUGUGAUGGAGGCCUGGGUGAGCAGUGGUGUAGACAGUUGCACAGAGGAGCCCAAAUGUUGCUCGAGACCCAAGAAAGCCCUGUGGGGUGAGGACAGCACCAGGCUCACCUGCCCACCUGGUCUCCAUCCAGGAGUCCAGAGACCCAGGACCAAACUGAUCCUGUCUUUAUGUUCAAUGUGGAGAUCUUGUUCAGCAAACCAUUCCAAGCAGAAUCUGCAAGACACAAUCAAACUGAAAGCAAGACUGGACUUCUGGCUUUGGAUCCCUGGUUUCAGACCCUGUCUGACAUUGCAUCGGGCGGACAUCCAAGCUUCAGUUUCCUUCUGUGUUAAAUGAGGAUAAGAAGAAAUCCACCUCCUGGGCUCACUGUGAGGGUUCAACGGGGUAAUCGUGUCAGUAGCUGAGAAGCAUGAAUAUUUGAUCUAUGUCAGCCAUUAUUACUGUUUUCCAAAUCUUGGUUCCUCCACUAGUGACUUUACCUCUUGGAAUUUUAAUCUCCUUUUCUGUAAAAUGGAGAAAUAAUAGGACUAUCUCUUAAGGUUGCUGUAAAGAUUAAAUGAGUUACUGUACAUGAAGUACCUAAAACAAUGUGUACAUGUGCUGUUAACUGUUACUAUUACAACAAUCACUACAACUACUACUGUUGUUCAUACUAUUAAUAGCUUAUUCUCCCUCCUCCUCCUCCUGCUGUAACUACUACUGCCACUGUGGCUGCUAUUGUUGCCCUGGUAGUUAGGUAGUUAAUACAAUUGCAAUGAGAGCUAAAAAUGGCAACUCCCUCCCCUGUGUGAGAGAUCCUUAGCCUAUGUUUAAACAUUCAAUUUGGUUUGCUAUAUGCUAUGCUUUUUAAAAUGUUUUAAGCUAUUCAAACAUUUUUAUUUUCUACAUAUAAUGCCAAAUAACCUGUUGAACUGAUUGCCCAUUUUUUUAGCUGAGUUGUUUGGAUAUGUUGUAGACAGAACCCGAGACAACAGAAGAGUUAGUGAACUUCAAUUGUUUAUAAAGGAGCGGCAUAAAAAUAAUCUUUAAAGCUAAGGGAAUGUUAAUAUUUAGAUCCAUCUAAGGGAAAAUAAUAACAGUUUGUGAUUUCCUCCUGCCUCACUUCCAGGGCAAACAUUUUUAAGGGAGGAUUUGAUUUUGUAACAUAAAUUGUUUUCUAUAUAACCCCAAAGACAUGAGUGAUUAAUAGUGAGCUAUAGAAAGAGAUGCCCAUAAUUAGCAGCUUGG
rnacentral:lncRNA from 1 species